UACAGAGGGGCAAGCGUUAUUCGGAAUUAUUGGCGUAAAGGGCGCGUAGGCGGCUUGGCAAGUGGAAGGUGAAAUCCUCGGCUUAACCGAGGAACUGCCCUCCAAACUGACUUCGCUUGAGACCGGGAGAGGUGAGUAGGAAUUCCCAGUGUAGCGGUGAAAUGCGUAGAUAUUGGGAGGAACACCAGUGGCGAAGGCGGACUCACUGGACCGGUACUGACGCUGAUGCGCGAAAGCGUGGG
rnacentral:rRNA from 1 species